GAUGAACGCUGGCGGCGUGCCUAAUACAUGCAAGUCGAGCGAACAGACGAGGAGCUUGCUCCUCUGACGUUAGCGGCGGACGGGUGAGUAACACGUGGAUAACCUACCUAUAAGACUGGGAUAACUUCGGGAAACCGGAGCUAAUACCGGAUAACAUGUUGAACCGCAUGGUUCAACAGUGAAAGACGGUCUUGCUGUCACUUAUAGAUGGAUCCGCGCCGCAUUAGCUAGUUGGUAAGGUAACGGCUUACCAAGGCAACGAUGCGUAGCCGACCUGAGAGGGUGGUUGGGCACCAUGGGAAAGGACACCGGGCCCAACCACCGCGGGGGGGCACAAGGGGGAAUUCUUGCGAAAGGGGGAAAACCCUGAAGGAGCAACGCCGGGGGGGUAAAAAAGGUUUUGGGAUCGUAAAACCUUUUUAUUGGGAAAAAAAAAAUGGGAAAGUAAACUUGCCCGUUUGGACGGUACCUAAUCAAAAAGCCAGGGCAAACUACGG
rnacentral:rRNA from 1 species